rnacentral:lncRNA from 1 species
UAAAUCUUUAAUUAUUCUAAGUCAGGCUUGGUGCUUUCUUUUAGCAUUGUACAUAUGCUUGUUAUUAAAUUUCCUUAAUUUUGAGUGCUAAUGUUGAGUAUUAAUUCUCAGAAAUCAGAGAUGAGAGAGAGAAGGAUCCUUAGAGCUCAGCUAUGAAGUGGGAAAGACUAUGAGAUCUGAACAAUGUGUGUCACCGUGGAAAAAAACAAAACAAAACCCUGAAAUAUUGGCCUUUGGGUUCAGAGAAAAGUGAGUUCAAAAAUCUGUCUCUGAGAAUUACUAGCUUAUGGAAAUCUGGAAUCAGGACUAUGUACUGGUUUCAAAGCAGAAGAAGCGGUAAGGGCCAGGAAAUGAGGUUAAGAGACCUGCCCAGGGUCACACAACUGGGAAGUGACUGAGAGCAGACUGGAACCCAGAACCUCCUAUCUCUACAUCUGACUCCUAAUCUAUCUGCCAUGGAACCAAUGCAAACUAUUGAAUAUAAGAAAUAAGGUAAGAG